rnacentral:snoRNA from 1 species
AGCUAGAGUCACGCUUGGGUAUUGGCUAUUGCCUUGGUGUGCUAGAGUCCUCGAAGAAUAACUGCUGACCUUAUUCACUGGCUGUGGACCUCAUGGCACAGUCAGGCACUAUGCUAGUGACAUUC